GGAAACAGGAGAGUGCCGUUCGGGAACUCGGAGACAGGUGCUGCAGUGGCUGUCGUCAGCUCGUGUCGUGAGAUGUUCGGGUUAAGUCCCGCAACGAGCGCAACCCUUAUCUUAAUUGCCAGCAUUCAGUUGGGCACUUUAAAGAGACUGCCGGUGUUAAACCGGAGGAAGGUGGGAUGACGUCAAGUCCUCAUGGCCUUUAUGCUUAGGGCUGCACACGUGCUACAAUGGGUGGUACAAAGAGAAGCCAACUCGCGAGAGCGCGCCAAUCUCAAAAAGCCAUCCUCAGUUCGGAUUGGAGUCUGCAACUCGACUCCAUGAAGUUGGAAUCGCUAGUAAUCGCGGAUCAGCAUGCCGCGGUGAAUACGUUCCCGGGCCUU
rnacentral:rRNA from 1 species